UUUAUUUACAGAAAGUCAAAGUGAUGAUGAGGAAGAGGAAGAAAGAGGGCCAGUGCCCCCCAGGAAUCUGCAGGAGUCUGUGGAGGAGGAAGCCCCCCAGGAGUCCUGGGAUGAAGGUUAUUCGACUCUCUCAGUUCCUCCUCGCACAUCUGCCUUCAAUGAGUCUUACAGGAGCAACUUGCACUCAUUAAAGGAGCAGCAAGUCAACUUGGCUGUCGACAUAGGCAAGAUUAAAGAGAACCAAGAAGAGGAAGAAGACCGAGGUCCACUGUGCCCCAGGUAACUUUGAGCAAUUGUGAACAGCUAAUGUUGUGUUGACACCUGGAGACGCCAGGUCCAGGGAAAACAGAGUGGGCUGACAAUAUCGAUACCAUCUUUUCAACGAAGCCUGAAUUAUUCCUACUAA